CAAAUGGUAUAACUAUAAAUACAUCUUUUACAAAAGAAAUAUUGAUUUGGGUGGCUCUUUAUAGAUAGUAUGAAAGCAAAUGCAGGCCAUGGAUGAUAUUUUUUUCAAAUUUUAAGUUUUAUAAGAAAAAAACUGUAAUUAUAGUACUUGAGUUAUCAAUUAGAUGUUAUGAAUUAUGAAUUCCAGAUAAAAAUGUUACUUUAUUUAUAAACAGGAUUUAUAAAUAUGUAAACAGUUUAGAAAAAAGUUGCCAUAAGGAUGCCAUAUAGGUACAUACAUAUAUACUUGUGUUGCUACUUAAUAAGACAACAAUAUAAUCAUGACAUGUACAGUUUAAUUUUGAAAGUUCUUUCAGUUUGUGUUUUGAAUGCUUGAUCUGUGGAUGAUAAAAAUUUGUUCUUCAUUUUAUUUUCAUCAUUUUGUGUUAGGUGUAAGUCAAAAAGUGAACAUAGAUAAAGGAAGUUGAUCUCUUAUAAAUAUAAACUAUUCAAAGAAGAUGCAUCUAUGUACAGCAUCAAUCAUUCCUUGUCUAUGCAGUUCUACAUUGCUUUUUUUAUUAACUUAUGUUGUAACCAUAAGUAUGGUCUUUAAUUAAUACAAAUGCAAAAAUGACUUUUCAUACUGGCAUUAUUUGACUUAUACAAUACAUUUUGACUGCUAGCUUCCAGUUUAUAUAUAAUUUAGUAUGUUUAAACCAAGGUUGUAAGUUUAUUAGGCAAUGUUGACCUUACAAGAGGGUUUUCGAAUGUUUAUAUUUUUAUUUUCCAAUUUGGUUGUCUUGAAUUGAAUUUUAAAUGUAUGUAUACCAUAUGCUCAGUUACCAGUGUUUUAGUGCUGUGCUGACAUGAGUCAAAUUAUAUAUGUUUAAUGUUAAUUUCAUUUUUUUAAACUAGUGUUUUCAACUCUUUCAGGCAAAGAUAAUAUUAGACAUUUUUGGCUGCACUAUUAUGCUUAACAUUUUUCACUGGCUUUCUAAAAUGUGGUAGUCAUUAUACCUCAUCAAGGAUUUUAUAGAAAUCGUUGUAGUGUUCAUGUAAAUGGGACGGGUAUAAUACAUUUUAUUUGAAUCUUAAUCAAUUAUGUCCUGUUUUAUGACUAACAUUUUACCAUCUUAUCCUCCCAAUUUUUAUUAAAAAACAUUAAUUUUAACUUGUCUUUUUAAAAAAAAAAACGAAGUACAUGUAUGAUAAUGCUAACAC
rnacentral:lncRNA from 1 species